rnacentral:rRNA from 1 species
CCCUUAGAUGGUCUGGGCGGCACGCGCGCUACAAUGAUGCAUUCAAAAAGUCUUCUGACCUUAGAAGGUUGGGUAUUCUCCAAAGUGCAUCGUGAUGGGAAUAGUUUAUUGCAAUUUCUAAUCUUGAACGAGGAAUUCCUAGUAAGUACAGGUCAUCAACUUGUGUUGAUUACGUCCCUGCCCUUUGUACACACCGCCCGUCGCUCCUACUGAUUGAGUGUCUCGGUGAAUUCUUUGAUCUUCUGUCGAUUCAGUUCACUGAUCCGACGGUGGAAAGUUGAAUGAACUUCGUCACUUAGAGGAAGGAGAAGUCGUAACA